rnacentral:SRP_RNA from 1 species
GCUGGGCAUGGUGGCUCGUGCCUGUAAUCCCAGCUACUCGGGAAGCUGAGGCAGGAGAAUUGCUUGAACCCAGGAGGUGGAGGUUGCAGUGAGCCAAGAUCACACCACUGCACUCCAGCCUGGGCGACAGAGCAAGACUCUGUCUCAA